CUGUCGCCGUUGAGCGCCAUGGCUUCAGCGGUCAGGUUUUCCGUCGUUUCUAGAUUUCGAUUCGUCUGUUAGGGCUCGGUUUAUUCCUGCGAUAUUGAUGAUUUAUUUCGAUGGAUUACGUUUGUUAUCGGUGUGUGAUUUUAGGGUUUGGAUUCUUGGCGAUGGGGAUUUUUCUUGCCAGGUUAAAAUUUUUGAUCUAACGAUGCUUGAAGGUUGAAUUUCCUUAUAUAUUUCAAUUUUUUGGAUUGCGUUUCCGGUUUUGAUUCAUCUGUUUGGGAUUGAUUGAUUGAUUCUGCGUUCGUAGUGCUGUCGGUGUGUUUCUAGGGUUUGGUGGCUGGAUUCGUGGCAAUCGCCUCAUUCUAACAGGUUUAAUAAAGUUUGGAUCUGUCGGUGUGUUUCUAGGGUUUGUUGGCUGGAUUCGUGGCAAUCGCCUCUUUCUAACAGGUUUAAUAACGUUUGGAUCUGAUUAUUUUUCAAAGGUUGCGAAUUCCCAAUCGAAUUUUGUGGAUAUUGAUGGAUUUUGAUAUCUCAUCUUAAAUCUGUUGAUCUGCUUUUGGGUUUUUUGAUUUGGUGUGGUGGUUCCAGGGCGUUUUGGAUUCAAUAACUGGUUCAGCUAGGAGUUCGAUUUGAAGAUUCUCUAUUUACCCUGGGUUUUUGCGUAUCUUCUGUUACCUCAUUGAAGUUUAUGAAAUGAUGAUUUAGUUUAGAAAUUUUGAUCCCCAUCCCAUAUAUGUCCGAAUAAAUGGAGCUUUGUUGUUAACUUUCAGGCAUGGAUUGCGGGUUUCAGUCGCAUAGAUGUCUUAAGACUCGAGCGGUUAGGUAUUGUAUUUGGCUAAUGUUUUGAUGGCGUUCUUGUGUGAUUGCUCUGUGGUUGGGUUUGUACUCCUGUUUUCGCGAUAAAAAUCUUUUGAUGCCUCCCUUUCUUCUUAAAUGUUUAUUUUCCUCCUCUCUCAUUCAAAAAUCGUUCUAAAUUUUAUUACCUUCUAUUGGCAGAUACUAAAUUGGGAAUUUGUACGGUAUUAUCAAGCUGGCAUUAUUUUACACGUAAAUUGGGAAUAUGUUCAAAUCGGGUUUAAUGUCCUCAAUAUUGAUUAUUUCCAUUCAAUUCUGCAUCUUUUUGCAGUCGCUCGUUUUCAGAUCUUUUUAUUUCUUUCCUCAGAUUUAUUUUCCUAUCUCAGAAAAUGUUUGGCCUACGUUUAUUUUUGUUUAGCAGCUACUUUUUAAUUUUUAUUCCUAAAUAAAUAUUGGCUAUUAUGUAUUUUAAGGCUUCUUGCCCACAGCUUUUGUUUUAUAGUUCUAAGAGUCUUGAAGGUUUCGUUUUUUGUUUAGCAGCGUCUUAUGCAAAUGCGUUCUAAUUCUUCUUAGCCAGUCACAGCUAAGAUUUUUUGUAGAUGAAAAAUGUUUCAGGGAGCUGGAGGUGUCUCGGUUUGUUUAUGCACCCUGCUUGGCUUCUUGUUUCUGUUAAAUGUCCAUUACAUUCGAUUGCUGUGUUGUCCUGCCCUUGAUGUUUAGUGCAGAUUCAUCAACAGGGUUCUAACUUCACUCUAUGAGUGGGCACUUAAAGAAGGGGUUUCUCUUGGCUUUUGAUUCUUUUUUUUUUUGUAUUUUAGAGCGUAUAGGUUUUGUGCCACAAUCUGAGCAGUUCUUUUGUCUGCAGACACAUUUUAUUCUUGUUGAGGGAGAGCUGGGUGUUUCAAAGAUGGGGUUUGAGUGGUUCUGAGUGUGAUUUAACUUUUAUGAAUUUGAGCCAUUGUUAUAUCAAUGAUCUUAUUAAAAAAAUUUCUGGUUACAGUUUCGCUGGGUCGAGGAAAAUGGCUGCCUGAUUUAAAGGGGGUUUGUUUCUUUGCUUAUGUUUUAACUGUAUUCUUAGGGCUUAUGAGAUCUAGCACCAUUAUUUGUGGAAUAUUCUUUGCAGAUGAUGUAUCUUGUUUGUUUAUGAAGUCUAAUCUUGUUGGAGCAGAACAUGCUGGUUUGGAGGGGGUCUAAGUGCUUUCUUGCUUUUUAAUUGAAUACUCAUUCAUUUGAUUUGUUUGGUCCUACGUUUGUGUCUACCCAUUCUUGUUUGUAUGCAGAUGUGGGUCGAAGUGCACCUUGUUAGGAUUCUACAGUUUGGGAGCUUUGUGUGGCUUGGUUUGUUUAUUCACCCUGAUUGGCUUCUUGUUUCUGUUAAAUGACCAUUACAUUCGAUUUCUGUGCUGUCCUUCCUUUGGUGUCUUAUGCAGAUGCAUAGCUGAGUCCUAACUCUAUCCAUCCCUAGUAAAGAGUGUCGGAGUUUCACUUCUUUAAAACAUGAGCGGGCAGAAUUUUAAUAGGGGGUUCCUCUUGGCUUAUGAUUCUAUUUUUGUAUUUUAGAGCGAAUGGAUCUUGCCAUAAUCUGAGCAAUGUUUCCUUAUGCAGACACAUUCUAAUCUUUUUGGAAGGAGAACAUGCUGCUUCAAAGCGGGGGUUUGAGUGGUUUUCGAUUGAUUUAAUUUUAUGUGAUUUUGAAACAUUAUUUGAACAAUGAUCUUUUCAAAUAUUUUCUGGCUAUGCAGUUUCCCUCAGUUGAAGGAAAAUGGCUGCCUGAUUUAAAAGGGGGGUUUCUUGGCAUAUGUUUCAAUCUCUUGGCUUAUGAUUCUAUUUUUGUAUUUUAGAGCGUAUGGAUCUUGCCAUAAUCUGUGCAAUGCUUCCUUAUGCAGACACAUUCUAAUCUUUUUGGAAGGAGAACAUGCUGCUUCAAAGCGGGGGUUUGAGUGGUUUUCGAUUGAUUUAAUUUUAUGUGAUUUUGAAACAUUAUUUGAACAAUGAUCUUUUCAAAUAUUUUCUGGCUAUGCAGUUUCCCUCAGCUGAAGGAAAAUGGCUGCCUGAUUUAAAAGGGGGUUUCUUGGCAUAUAUUUCAAUCUCUUGGCUUAUGAUUCUAUUUUUGUAUUUUAGAGCGUAUGGAUCUUGCCAUAAUCUGUGCAAUGCUUCCUUAUGCAGACACAUUCUAAUCUUUUUGGAAGGAGAACAUGCUGCUUCAAAGCGGGGGUUUGAGUGGUUUUUCGAUUGAUUUAAUUUUAUGUGAUUUUGAAACAUUAUUUGAACAAUGAUCUUUUCAAAUAUUUUCUGGCUAUGCAGUUUCCCUCAGUUGAAGGAAAAUGGCUGCCUGAUUUAAAAGGGGGUUUCUUGGCAUAUGUUUCAAUCUCUUGGCUUAUGAUUCUAUUUUUGUAUUUUAGAGCGUAUGGAUCUUGCCAUAAUCUGAGCAAUGCUUCCUUAUGCAGACACAUUCUAAUCUUUUUGGAAGGAGAACAUGCUGCUUCAAAGCGGGGGUUUGAGUGGUUUUCGAUUGAUUUAAUUUUAUGUGAUUUUGAAACAUUAUUUGAACAAUGAUCUUUUCAAAUAUUUUCUGGCUAUGCAGUUUCCCUCGGUUGAAGGAAAAUGGCUGCCUGAUAUAAAAGGGGGUUUCUUGGCAUAUGUUUCAAUCUCUGUUUUCUUAAUGGCUUAUGAGAUCUAGCACCAUUAUUUGUGGAAUUUUCGUUGCAGAUGAUAUACUUUAUGGAGUUGGCUUGUUGAAGCAGAACGUGUCGUUUUUAAGAGGGGUUUUAAGUGCUUCCUUGUUUUCGGUUGAAUUUUCUGUUCUUUGGCUUUUUCUGGUUCAUCGAUUUGUGUCUACCUAUUCUUGUUUGUAUGCAGAUGUGUUGAAGUGCAGCUAAUUAGGAGUUGAACAGUUUAAAGGAGAGCGGGUGUCCUUCUCUUAGGGGGUUCCAUUGUCUUCUGAUUAUAUUCUAUUUUCUUAGAGCGUAUAUUUUUGUGCCUUUAUUUGAGCAGAGCACUGUUUUUAUAUGCAGACAUAUUCCUACGCCUGUCUGUGUACGAGGUCCAUGCUUGUUAGCUCUGUUGUAGAACGGGCUGUUUCUAAGAUGGGGUUUGAGUGAUUAUUGGAUUAUGUAAUUUCUUAUUUUUGGUGGGUUAAUGUUACCUCCUACCAUUAUUUGAUCAGUGAUCGAUGUUUCAUAUCAGAUGCUACCUGAAUUUUUGGUCAUGAAAUCUCACUCAGUCGUUGAGCAAUUUGCUAUCUGCUUCGAAAGGGGGUUUGAUGUUUCUUGGUUUAUGCUUACCUUUCUUAUAUAUUGGAGGUUGUGAGACAUGGACCAUUAUUUGCGCAAUUUUCUGUGCAGAUGCGUUUUAGAGUUCGUAUGCGUAUGGAGUUUAACUUUGUUCAAGGAGAAAGGGGUGCUUUGAAGGGGGUUUCUUUUGAAUCUGUUUUAAAUUUCUAUAUGUCGACUCUGUAUGUGAUUCUACGCCUUGAUUUGAGCAACGCUUCUGUAUGCAGACAUUCUCUCUCUUGUCCAUAUAUGGCAACCACCGUGGAAGGAGCAGUUUGAAUAUGGGGGUUUGAGUAGUUCUUGGGUUAUUAUUUUGUUUCUUAUUCCUUUGGGUUGACGGGAGCUGAAAUAAUCAUUGCAACAAUGUUUCAUGCAGUUACAUUCCAGAUAGUCUAUUUAAGAAGUCUGUUGGAUGGAUUGGCCGACUGCUUUUGAAAAGGGGGUUUGAUGCUUCUAAGCCUGUACUCUUGUAUUCAUUAGACUAAAUACUAUAUGCGAUCGUGGACUAUCAUUUGAGCAGUUAUUUGUGCAGAUGCCUUUGUCUUUUGUCUGUUUGUGUAGUCUUUACUUCAUUAUCGGAGAGCAGCCUGAGCAGGCAGCUUUUAAGAGGGGGUUUUUGGGCUUACGUUUAUCUUUUUACUUUCUAUUUUAUUUUUUUAUUAGUACGUAGCUUGUACCUUCCUUUGAGCAAUGGUUUUUGUAUGCAGACACGUCCGGACUCUAUUUUUGUGAAAGGAGAGCGGUGGAUUUUAACAGGGGUUACCUUAUGUUUUUGUUUUAAUUGUCCGUUAUUAGACUUUGUAUGCAAUCUUGCACCAUGAGUGGGCAUUGUUUCUGUAUGCAGACAUAUUGGCGAGCAUUGGAAGGAGGGCAGUCUGAAUGGGGGUUUGAGUUCGGUUUUGGAUGUUAUUUCUUACUCGUUUGGGUUUGAUGAGAUCUGGAACUAUUAUUGGAACAAUGUUUUAUGCAGGACCUAUUCCAAAAUAGUCUGUUUAUGAAGUCUCAGAGUGUUGGAUGGCAACGGGCUGCCUGUUUUAAAGAGGGGUUUAAUAUAUCUUAGCCUAUGUCUUGAUCUCCUAUUUCUUGUGUUUUGCGAUAUUGUUUGAGCAAUUAAUUAUGCAGACGCCUUUUUGUGUCGGAUGGAGUCCAACUCAUUAUAGGAGAGCAGCCAACUUUUGAGAGGGGGUCUUUGGCUUACGGUUUUUUUUUUUUUUUUCUUUUGUUGGCGUGAUAGAGAUAUUUUAUAGUUAUUUGAGCAAUGUUUUUUGUAUGCAGACACGUCCCCACAUUAGGUUGUAUGUGGUGUGCAAGUUUAGUGGGGGAGAAUGGGCUGCUUAUGAAAGGGGGUUUCCAUAGUUUGCCUUAUGAAUUUAUUUCAAGUUUUUUGUGAGUUUUGAGAUGCUGAACCAUUAUACUCACUGUUUAUUUGCAGAUGUGUCCCAAACUUUUCUUUUGCCUCACUCAGUUGAGUGAAAAAUGGGCUGCCUGCUUUUAGGACGAAGUCAGAUACCUUUUCCCUUUUUUGUUUGUUUGUAAUUUAUUUGCUCUUAUGAGACCUCUUAUGAUUUUCAUUUUUUCUUUCUUUGUUUAUAUAUAUAUUUGCUGUAUUAUUUGUGCGUACUUUUUGUAUGCAGAGACAUCCCAGCUUCUGUCUGUGCUCAGAAGGGGUGCGAAAUGCUUUUAGAAGGGGUUUGAGUUCUUGUCUUGUUACUUGAUUUCAUAUUGGUUUGGAUACCAUUGUCUUCCACGCUAAUGCAUUUGCAGACGUUUUUAGCUUGGAGUCUUUCAUGGGGGUCUACUUUAUGGAAUUGUCCUCACAUUCGGUUUGCUAUUCAUCUGUCAGCCGUCACUUUGUUCAUUAAAAGAUUUGUCUUCAUUGGGUUUACACUUAAUUGGCUUCAUUGUCUUUUGGCACUGGUUUACGCAUCUCAGCUUGGUUUAUGUUCAAAUGUUUCAGCUUGUGUGGAUGGUGGUACUCCCUAUUGUUUGACAAACGCUGAAUUUUGUUUGGUGACUUAAAAUUCUUCAUUCGGCAUUUUUUAUUUCAGCAACGCAUUAUUCAGUUAUCUUUAAACAUAGUUACAGAGGAUAGCGGUCUGCAGCUGAUUUUAAGUUGGAUGAUGGUUCUUUUCUUAUAUUUAGUUUUCCUGUAAAGCGCCGUAAGGUCUUUUUGGUUGGUGCUUCGCUUCAUUGAAUCCUAGAGGAGUAUGAGCUGCUUCUAAGAUGGAGUUUGUUACUUGAUGGCUUUUAUUUUCAAGAUGGCACUCUACGUGGACCGAAGUCAUGGAUUGUGGUUUUGUUUCAACAACUAUGUUUGUGUCGUGCUGUGGUCCUGUGCAGAAUAAUGUCAAGUCUCAUGGGGUUGGGCUGGAUUCAAUAUCUUCUACUUUCCUUGGCCAGAGAUUUCUUCCGGGAGUUGCUUUUAAUUUAAGAGGUUCAUGCUUUCUGUCCUAUCAAGUUAUCGUUUAAUUUGCCAUCUGUAAGAGUUCAUAAUAUCCAGGCAGCUAUGUAUGUCGAUGCAUUCCGCAAGGCAUUUGUUAGAAACUUAGAGGGGGUGUUUAACGUGCUUACUAUCUGGCAGCAGUGUUUGGGAUAUAUGAUUAUGCAUUGAGGAGCUUAUUUCUUUUUCUUGAAUGAGUAUCAUGUUGAAGUUGAUGGAACUGACCGUAGAAGAUGUUGUGGAGUCGGGUUUUAUCCUAUUCAGACUUUAUUAUUUCCCUGUUUCUCAUCGAUCAUCUCUUUAGUUUCCCUUAUGUACUUUGUCAUUAGUGUUGGUAUUACUUAUGCAGAUGUAACUUUGGUGAGGUCUUGCUUGAUUUCAAGUUUUGAUGAUGGAAAUAAAAGUGGUAUAAAUGUCCUUUUUCCCUUUUGUAUUGAAGUUUCGCAAUCUCGUAUCAUGAAUUUAUUAUCACUGUCCAAUUCAGUUUUUAUUUUUUUAUUUUUAUUUUUUAAAUCUGAUCCUCGUUUGGCUUUAGAUCCGGUUUAUUGUCGACGUGGAAGCUGUGCAGGUUGCAUUUUAAAAUUUAAUGCAACUGUCGUGAUUUUAUAUGUGCAAUGUCAUAGUGUUGCUGGAUUAAUAUUUUUAACUUAUUGAAAAUGGUGAAUAUUCUUAAUUGUGGGCUAAUUUGGAAAGCAGCUAAAUGAAGGGCAUCAAUUAUUUUAUAGUGUGGUGAUCUGUAUCUGCAAUUCGAAUAUAUUGCUUGGAAUAUAAUGCUAAAACAAGGGCAAAGCAUGUUAGCUGAAUGAAGGAAUUCUUAUAUCGAAUUGUAAGUAAGUCCACUGUCUGAUUUUGUUUAAACUCUUGUUGCUAGACACAUAAUUUUAUUUGUUUCGUGUUUUAAUUGUUGUUACAGGCGCAUGAUAUUUCGAUACAAUAACAUGAUGUAUUUUAGUCAAAAACUACACUUUUUAUAUUUGUAACGUUACGUGUUCUAAUUCGGCACAAUAGUUUUGAGUUUAUUUCAGUGGAUUCGUAUGACAAUUAUCUGAUAUAUAAGAGGUCUGGCAUUAGUUGUUAGUCAUCUGCCCUUGGUAUUGCUGCUGCUAAAUUUGGGUGUUGUUAGGAUAGAGGAGAUUUUCGCUGAUCAAGUUGUGUGUAGUGCUCGAAUAUGUUUAGCCGCAUGAUUUGUAAUUAUGUCUCUAGUUGUUACGGCUCUUCGGUGUUUUCGUCCUGCAUUUAGAGAUGUCUUUUAGGGGUAUAACAUGCAAAAAAUAAAACUUAAAAAGAGUAAAUGAGAAAUUGUCCGGAUCGUUUCUUUUCCUCUCGUGUCCAAUCGUUUGUUAUAGUCUGUUGUGUGUGCAUUUGUUGUUAGGUUAGGUUAGGUUAGGUUAGAGGGAUGUAGCUCAAAAUGGUAGAGCAACUCAGCUUGUGUUGUAGCUGAGAAGAUCAAGGUUCGAAUCCUUGCAUCCCUGCAUCCUACUUUAUUGCAUUGAGAAAUGAAUUCUAACUUCUUGUGUGUAGUGCUUCUGUUUGUGUUUAGAAAUCCUGGAAGACGUAUGGAACUGCCUAAUUUUCAAGGCGGAGGUUACCCUCUGCAUGCUGUUUUCGUUACUCAGAUGAUCAGGUCUUUGAAUGUAUCGAAUUUCAGGCUGGAAACCUGCUUCUGCAUUUCCCGUGCAGACCGGAGAGAGCUGCUCAAGCUUCGGUAGCCUUCGGGUGUUUGGGGGAAGAAAACCAUCAGCAUCCGAGACAGAUCGAAGAUCUUGUGGAAGAAAAAACAUCAUCAUCGCCACCACGACGCACUAUAGAAAACGAGGGUGGCAGUGCAAGGAAAAGGAAGGAAACCAAAAGGACCGGUUGUGGAACUUCUUGUUUCAUAAGAAAAACAUCUAAUAGAUCUUUAGAGUUGAUAUGUUUACAAAUUCAUCUUUUGGGAUUUGGUAUGUUGUGUUUCUGUUUUGGGCCCUGAGAUCUCUUUCUGUUUGAGCUCGCUGGAAAUUUCGGGCACAAGUAUUCAAUUUGUUCGUACCUGUUUACUAUUGAACUGAGACCAACAUAGCAAAAAUUCUUCGAGACUAUCGGCCUGUCUAUUUUCUUUGGGCUUGUAAGAUCUUGUUUACCAAAUUAUUUCUAAGUUUUUUUCCCUAUGUAGACGGUGUAUUUUUGCUUAUCAUCAUUUAGUGUGAUGUAUGCUCAUUAUUUUAUUUAUCAUUAUUAGAUGAGUUUGAAUUUCGAGAUAAUUUUGAGAUUUGUGCAUAUCUACCACAUAAAUCUUGAAAUUCAAACUCAUCUAAUAGUGAUAAAUAACAUAGUGAGCAUAUACCACAUUAAAUGAUGGUGGCGAGUAAAAAUGCUCCCUUUUGGAUAAAUUUACGGAGAAUCAAUUGAUGAGAGCGAAGGGUAGGAUCAAACCUGUAUUUUUUACGCUAAACUACAUACUACAGUCUAGUAGUGCUCAAUUUAUCUUUAAGUGAAAUUCUAAAUGAGUAACAUGAAGGUUUAAAGACUUUAUUAUUGUAAAUGAUAAGUUCGAUGUCAAUUUUUUUUAUUUUUUUUUAGUGAAUUUUUUUGCAAGUUUCACUCUUAAGAACUAGUGAAACAUGCCCUCUUCGUAACCUUAUUUUUCUUUGUACGAAUGAAAGCUCUUAACCUUCAUACUAGCACAAAUUGGCUCAAAUUGAAUCAGAUUCGAAUUAGACAAAUAAUUUGGCAGUUUAAUUUAUUUUAUUUCCUUUUGACGCUCUAUCCGUACCCGACACGUUUCGGGUCCUCCUCAAUCCAAACCCGAAAUUUCCGUACAGCCAGUAAAAGGAAGGGACAGCUGUCAAACAAUUAGGCUCGGUAGAGAAAAAAUGGGCAAUUUGAACUCCCCAGCACAUGUACACAACGCCAACGUAUACUCUCGCAUUUUCGUCUUCGCACCAUUUUCUCUACACAUUUUACCAUUAAACUACAGCAGAGUCCGAUUGAGAUCCACCGAGUGCAGCACCACCACCACCACCGGCGAUGGCGAAAUCCAGCGCAGACGACCAGGAGCUUCGGCGGGCCUGCGAGGCCGCCAUCGAAGGCACCAAGCAGAGCGUCGUCAUGUCGAUCCGCGUGGCCAAGAGCCGUGCGAUCCGGGGUAUAACGCACAUGCUCGGCCGCGACAUGGCCAAGGCUAGGGUCCUGGCUCUUUCCGGUACGCAUUUGCAUCUUUAUUUCAUCCCUGUAGUUUCAGUCGAUUAAAAAUUGUAUGCGCUGUGGAAAAAUGGAAGAGAAAUUGAGCUUUUGUGAAGAAUCAGACUAAGUUCUAACUUGUCCAAUUGUUAGGCUCGUUUCGUUUCACUAUUUUGGAAUGAUUAUAGUAUAUACCGGAAUCGAAACGGAUAAUCGCAAUGCGGUUGGAUGGUAAUGUGUUUGGGUUCUCAGACUGAGACCUUCCUUUCUGGGCCUGUGUAUGUGUGCAUAACUCCCCACUCUAGUAUAAAUAUUCAGGCGGAUGAAGAUCACUGUCGUACUUAAUUUGUGUUGGUGACCACCCUUUGUUUUGUUGUGCAGUAAAAUCCAAAGGCCAGAGGACUAAAGCCUUUCUUCGAGUCUUAAAAUAUUCCACCGGAGGAGUCCUUGAGGUGAAAUCAUUAGCAGCAACGUCUUAUUUAGUGCUGCAAAUUUGUGCUUGAUUAGGACUUGGAUUACGAUUUGCAAUUAAUCAGAAAUUUUCUUUUACUGCAGCCUGCAAAGUUAUACAAACUAAAGCAUCUUUCAAAGGUGGAGGUUUUAACGAACGACCCUAGUGGGUGUACUUUUACCCUGGUAGGUAGUGCUCCAUCUUCCAUGUGUCUAUGCUGUGUAUAUAUUGUGGGAAUUUGUGCAAAGAAUUAGCGUUCUUUCAAUUAAAAAAAAAAACAAGAACCGUUGUUUGAGAAAAAUUGGAGUGCCAUUCUCUAUUUUGGUCUGAUUGAGUUUCUUGUAGGGCUUUGAUAAUCUUAGGAGUCAAAGUGUUGCUCCUCCUCAAUGGACCAUGCGAAAUAUUGAUGACAGGUAAGCCGUGGAGCACAUACACCUAUUUCGAUAUUAUCUUGAAGUAAACAGAUUGAUAAGAUUUUGAGUAUCUUUCUUUUUUCCUUUUCUCUGUCUGUUAUGUGUAGGAACCGCCUUUUACUUUGCAUUUUGAACAUAUGCAAAGAUGCUCUGGGUCAGCUUCCUAAAGUUGUUGGUAUAGAUGUCGUGGAGAUGGCUCUUUGGGCUAAGGUGCAUAUGAUGAAUUUGUACACUUGUACUGUUUUUUAUGCACAGAUUAGAUUGCAAGAUAAUUAUAUUUGAAGGUUUCACUUCCUUUGGAAUCAGUAAUCACGGUUACAACUCUAUGAUGAUUAUUUUCUGUCAAUGUGAAUUUCUUAUAACUCCGCCUAUGUCUUACAUGGCCGGUCCCAAGCCCGGAUAAAGGAGGAGGGGGAGGGCGUCAGGUAGUCGACAGCCGGCACUCCAUGAUCACGUCGAAUCCUUAUGAAAAAUCCAGAACAAAAUCGCGCUAAAGCUAGGGCGUCACCCGUAAGUGGCGCGCUGUGUGGCCUGAGCACAGUGAUAAGUGAGCAAGGGUCGCUGCAUCUCCAUCGGCACCCGGAUGCAGUGUUAAAUGAGCAAGGGGGCCAUAGAAACUUCUUUUCGAACGACUCCACUCAAAGUUGUUUGGGAGCAUAUGCUCCUAUCAAUUUUACCCGGGACACACAAAAGAAGUACUUUGAUCCUAUUAGACGGGGGAGGGUGAAGAAGCUAGGACAGAAGGGUAGAGUUCAAGAGAGUAAAAUGCGUUUAGGAACGUGGAAUAUAGGAACCUUAACGGGAAAAUCUAUGGAAAUAGUGGAAGUUAUGGUGAGGAGAAGGAUAAAUAUUAUGUGCCUACAAGAAACUAAGUGGGUUGGUAGUAAGGCAAAGGAUCUAGAAAACUCAGGGUUUAAACUUUGGUAUUCGGGCACAAAAUAGAACGAGAAACGGUGUUGGCAUCAUCGUGGACAAGACCUUGGUACAAGAUGUUGUAGAUGUCAAGAGGGUAGGAGAUAGAAUCAUGGCAAUCAAGAUUGUAAUAGGACAAGAACUUAUCAAUGUGAUUAGUGCGUACGCACCUCAAGUAGGGUUGGAUACGAGUUCGAAGGAGAAAUUUUGGGAAGAUCUUGGAGACUUGGUGCAAGGAAUUGCUCAGACGGAGAAGUUAUUUUAUAGGAGGAGAUUUAAAUGGACACGUGGGCAGGGAGACAGGCAACUAUGGAGGUUUUCAUGGUGGCCAUGGUUUUGGGGAGAGAAACGAGGAUGGGGAAGCUAUCUUGGAUUUUGCAAUGGCAUAUGAUCUCUUCUUAGCCAACACCUUCUUUAAGAAGAGAGAAGAACAUGUGAUCACCUACAAGAGUGGGUCGUCAAAAACACAAAUAGAUUUUCUUCUAAUGAGGAAAGGGGAUCGUAUAACUUGUAAGGAUUGCAAAGUUAUACCAGGAGAGAGCGUGGCUAAUCAACAUCGCUUGUUGGUGAUGGAUGUACAUAUCAAAAGAGUAAGACAAAAGAACAAGACUUGGAAGUGCCCAAGGACUAGAUGGUGGAAUCUAAAAGAAGAAAAACAAGUCAUUUUCAAAGAGAAGGUAAUCACCCAAUGUGUGUGGGAUAGAGAGGGGGAAGCUAGCCAAAUGUGGGAUUCCAUGGCUAGUUGUAUCCGAAAAGUAGCAAAAGAGGUAUUAGGAGAGUCCAAGGGCUUUGCCCCACACCAAAAGGAAUCUUGGUGGUGGAAUGAGGAGGUACAAACAAAGGUGAAGGCUAAGAAGGAAUGUUGUAAAGCCUUAUACAAGGAGAGGACCGAUGAAAAUGGUGAAAAGUAUAGAAAAGCGAAGCAAGAGGCGAAAAAAGCUGUCAGAGAAGCUAAGUUAGCGGCCUACGACGAUAUGUAUAAACGACUAGAUACCAAAGAAGGAGAGUUGGAUAUCUAUAAAACUAUCUAGAGCAAGGGAAAAGAAGACAAGGGAUCUAAACCAAGUGAGGUGCAUCAAGGAUGAGGAUGGAAAGGUUCUUGCUACAGAGAACGCGGUUAAAGACAGAUGGAGAGGUUAUUUUCAUAAUCUUUUCAAUGAAGGACAUGAAAUGAGCGAUUCUUUAGGGGAGUUGAGUAACUCAGAAGAGUGUAGAAACUACUCUUUUUAUCGUCGAAUCCGGAAGGAAGAAGUGGUUGUAGCUUUGAAGAAGAUGAAGCAUAAAAAAGCAAUAGGCCCAGACAAUAUACCAAUCGAAGUGUGGAAACUUUUGGGAGAGAUAGGUAUAACAUGGCUCACUGACCUUUUCAAUAGGAUUUUGAAAACGAAGAAGAUGCCAAAUGAGUGGCGAACGAGCACUUUGGUGCCUAUCUACAAGAACAAGGGCGACGUACAAAAUUGCAUGAACUAUAGGGGUAUUAAGCUAAUGAGUCAUACAAUGAAGCUCUGGGAGAGAGUCAUUGAGCAUAGAUUGAGGCAAGAGACACGGGUUUCGGACAACCAAUUCGGGUUCAUGCCAGGGCGCUCAACCAUGGAGGCAAUCUAUCUCUUACGAAGAUUGAUGGAAAGAUAUAGAGAUGGGAAAAAGGAUUUACACAUGGUCUUUAUAGAUUUGGAAAAAAGCGUAUGAUAGGGUCCCAAAGAGACAUUCUUUGGAGGAUUUUAGAGAAGAAAGGAGUACGAGUAGCAUAUAUCCAAGCUAUAAAGGAUAUGUAUGAAGGAGCAAAGACUGCCGUAAGAACUCAUGAAGGACAAACCGAAAGCUUCCCCAUAACUGUAGGAUUACAUCAAGGCUCAUCCUUAAGUCCUUACCUUUUUGCGUUGGUAAUGGAUGAGUUAACAGGACAUAUUCAAGAUGAUAUUCCUUGGUGUAUGCUUUUCGCAGACGAUAUAGUGUUGAUAGAUGAAACUCAGGAAGGGGUAAAUGCAAAGCUUAACCUUUGGAGAGAAGUGUUGGAAUCUAAAGGUCUUCGCCUAAGCCGAUCAAAGACAGAAUAUAUGGAGUGCAAGUUCAGUGCAAAUGGAGGCCAAAACGAGUUAGGGGUGAGGAUCGGAGAUCAAGAAAUACCAAAAAGCGACCGUUUUCGUUACCUAGGAUCUAUCUUGCAAAAGAACGGAGAAUUAGAUGGAGAUCUCAACCAUAGAAUACAAGCUGGAUGGAUGAAGUGGAAGAGUGCAUCCGGUGUGUUGUGUGACCGCCGUAUGCCAUUGAAGCUCAAGGGAAAAUUUUAUAGGACGGCAAUAAGGCCGGCGAUGCUGUAUGGCACAGAAUGUUGGGCGGUGAAACAUCAACACGUACACAAAAUGGGUGUAGCGGAGAUGAGGAUGCUUCGUUGGAUGUGUGGGCACACGAGAAAGGAUAAGAUUAGGAAUGAGGAUAUCCGGGGUAAAGUAGGAGUAGCCGAAAUUGAAGGAAAGAUGAGAGAAAAUCGGUUACGGUGGUUUGGACAUGUGCAAAGAAGGCCUACUGACGCUCCGAUUAGAAGAUGCGACUAUGGGACAGAGGUUCAGGGCCGAAGGGGUAGAGGAAGACCUAGGAAAACUUUGGAAGAGACUCUAAGAAAAGACUUAGAGUACUUGGAUCUAACGGAGGACAUGACACAGGAUCGAGCACAAUGGCGUUCUAAGAUUCAUAUAGCCGAUCCCACUCAGUGACUUGGAUUUUCCAAGUCUCCAAUCGAGAAGUUUUCCUCACUCGGGAAAUUAAGGGAACACUACCCCAACCUACAUGCUCCACUCAGAAAGCUUCAACAUACAAGCUUCAACAAAAGAAAAUUCAAAGAACUUAGCGAAGAAGGCUUUGGUGUAUUUAACACACAAUACGUUGAAAUGAAGGAAAGCUUAUUUAUUGAUAUCCCCGAUCAGCUACAAAUAUGUACAUAUACAUGAGUCAAAAUAAACACACAAGACGGAGCCUUCACAAAGGUUGCUUAGGAGAAGUCUCAGCAGUCGGUAGAGCCCCAGAAAGAGAAGGCACCGGAGGGGGAUCAUUUGGAGCCUCAGUACUGGACAGAACCCUAGAAGGAGGAGGCAUCAGAGGUUGAUCAUUCGGAGCUUCAUUACGCGGUACAGCCCCAGAAGACGAAGGCAAUAAAUGCCUUUGGAACAAACCCACAAAUCUCUGAUGAUCAAGUAAAACCUGACCAUCAGUUUCCUUCAUCUGGUCAAGCUUCCUCUUCAUGUUUGUAGCAUAGUCAUGUGCGAGCCGGUGCAACUGUUUAUUCUCAUGCUUGAGCCCUCUAAUCUCCUGUUUUGAGACUCAUCACUUCAGCCGCCAAGGAUUCAACUUGGCGGGUUCGAGCAAAUAGGCGUUGGGCCAUAUUAGACACAGAACCUGCACACUGAACACUGAGAGCCAACGAAUCCUUAACAGCUAACUCAUCAGACCGUUUGGAAAGUAGUCUGUUAUCUUUGGGAGUGAGAAGGUUCCUGGCCACCACCGCAGCGGUCAUAUCAUUCUUCAUCACGGAAUCCCCAACGGUAAGAGGACCAGUAGGGGAGACGAAGGAUGGGCGCCAUAUGUUGUCUGGAGAAGGCGGGGCUGCCUCUUCAACAAGGUUCAAGUCAAAACGACGGUCGGAGGGGCCAGACAUUUUCAAAGGUGUUGAAGAGAGAAGAGGUCGGACAAAUCAAGAUCUUAGAAGUGCAAGAAUGAAGCUUCUACUGGUGGAGAUUCAAGUGUGCUUUGGAACUUAAUGUCAGCCUCUAUAAAAAUCUGCACUCGACGGAGCUUCGGAAAUCGAAGAGGCGCCUGCUCAGAAAUCGAAGAGGCGUUUGCUUUCUCAAAAGCUGGGCUGCUUAGAGAUCACGAGGGUUGAUCUCAGAAAUCGAAGAGGCGUUUGCUUUCUCAAAAGUUGGGCUUCUCAAAGACCACGAAGGCCGAUCUCAGAAAUCGAAGAGGCGCUCGCUUUCUCAAAAGCUGGGCUCCCCAGAGACCACGAGGGCCGAUCUCAGAAAUCGAAGAGGCACCUACUUUUCCAACCUUGUCAGCACCCGUCACACGCACACUCAGCUUUGCAGAAAUUAUGGGCAUUCUGUCGAAGACUUCUGGGGAAGUAGAAAACACAUGAAUCUUACUGUUCAAUCACCCACUUCCCACACGCAACAAUAGCUCAUGGGUACCACAGAUAACUUUGCCAAAGUUCUCUGCCAAAGUUGAGCACGUGAAGCUUGCAGCUCCCACUACAUCAUCGCUCUGACCAAGAAGGGUAAAAGAAUAGCAAAGAAACAGCACUAACAAAGUUUAGACCCAUAAAUUUUGAAGGUCUAGCUACCAUAUUAUUACCCACAAGGGUAAAGGAACAGUACUAUUGCUGGAUAAUUGGAAAGUCCCUGUGUGUCAACCUCUGUGCUUCGUGGCAAGGUAGACUAGCAAACAUGCCCAACCUUUACUCACAUUCGAGAAAACACUCCCAAUAAGAUUGCUUGCUCCAAAAUCGAAGAGGCACCGUCCUCCGAAUCUCGAGAGCCAGACUCCCAACAUGACUACUUUCUUAAAAAUCGAAGAGAGGGUAAAGGAACAGUACCAUUGCUGGAUAAUUGGAAAGUCCCUGUGUGCCAACCUCUGUGCUUCGUGGCAAGGUAGACUAGCAAACAUGCCCAACCUUUACUCACAUUCGAGAAAACACUUCCAACAAGAUUGCUUGCUCCAAAAUCGAAGAGGCACCGCCCUCCGAAUCUCGAGAGCCAGACUCCCAACGUGAUUACUUUCUCAAAAAUCGAAGAGACACUGCUCCCCGAAUCUUCGAGAGCCAGACCCCCAGCAUGAUUGCUUUCUCAAAAAUCGAUGAGGCAUCGUUCUCCGAAUCAAUCGAAGAGACGCUCGCUUUCUCAAAAGCUGGGCUGCUCAGAGACCACGAGGGCCGAUCUCAGAAAUCGAAGAGGCACCUACUUUUCUAGCCUUGUCAGCACCUGUCACACGCGCACACUCAGCUUUGCAGAAAUUAUGGGCAUUCUGUCGAAGACUUCUGGUGAAGUAGAAAGCACAUGAAUCUUACUGUUCAAUCACCCACUUCCCACACGCAACAAUAGCUCAUGGGUACCACAGAUAACUUUGCCAAAAGUUCUCUGCCAAAGUUGAGCACGUGAAGCUUGCAGCUCCCACUACAUCGCUCUGACCAAGAAAGGUAAAAGAAUAGCAAAGAAACAGCACUAACAAAGUUUAGACACACAUAAAUUUUGAAGGUCUAGCUACCAUAUUAUUACCCACAAGGGUAAAGGAACAGUACCACUGCUGGAUAAUUGGAAAGUCCCUGUGUGUCAACCUCUGUGCUUCGUGGCAAGGUAGACUAGCAAACAUGCCCAACCUUUACUCACUUUCGAGAAAACACUCCCAACAAGAUUGCUUGCUCCAAAAUCGAAGAGGCACCGUCCUCCGAAUCUCGAGAGCCAGACUCCCAACAUGACUACUUUCUCAAAAGCGAAGAGAGGGUAAAGGAACAGUACCAUUGCUGGAUAAUUGGAAAGUCUCUGUGUGUCAACCUUUGUGCUUCGUGGCAAGGUAGACUAGCAAACAUGCCCAACCUUUACUCACAUUCGAGACAACACUCCCAACAGGAUUGCUUGCUCCAAAAUCGAAGAGGCACCGCCCUCCGAAUCUCGAGAGCCAGACUCCCAACAUGAUUACUUCCUCAAAAAUCGAAGAGACACUGCUCUACGAAUCUCGAGAGCCAGACCCCCAGCAUGAUUGCUUUCUCAAAAAUCGAAAAGGCAUCGUUCUCCGAAUCUCGAGAGCCAGAUACCACAGACCACUUUUUCAAAGUGCUCUGACAGAGUUAAAACAUGUGAAACUGGCAGCUCCCACUACCGUGCUAUGACCAAGCAGGGUAAAGGAAUAGCAUUACUACUUGUUGUUAGGGAGACUCCUAUAUAUGUCGACCUCCAUCCCCAACGGACAGGCAGACCUGCAAAAAUGCUCAACCUUUCAUCAUAUCUGAGAGGGCACUCCCAACGAAGCCUUUCGAAAUAUUCAGCUUUCUUUCCCCCCGAUAAUACCUCUGCAAACAAGCUAUACUAGAGCAAGAAUAUCUCAUAUCAUCAGGGUUAAAAGCAAGAGUAUCCCAUAUCAUGCUUUUUCCCUGUCUUUUCCUUUGGCCUUGUUUUUACCUGCAAGACAAGGAGAAAGAGAGCAAUCAGUCAGCACUUGGAUCAAGCUUCCAGCUAGGAACUGACUGCCUGGAACCCCUUACCUGAUUACUUACCUGGCAUUGCUCUCGAGUACUCAUCUUCAACAUCUUAUGUUUCCAGGGAAGAUUCCGCAUCUGCUUGAGGAACAGAUAGGGCAAGUGCGAAGGAUACAAGGAAGCAUGUGGAGACAAGCGUAACAGCACACGUGCCGAUACACCCCAUUACUCUCUGUCAAAAGCAAAAGUAUCCCAUAUCAGCAGGGUGGAACGUACUCUAGAUUUGAUGGACUUGUUUUGACCCUCAAAUUCUUCAGUCGGCCUUAUACUCUGGAGGAAACCAGAAAACCCUCCAGCUCAGUUCAAGAAUAAGCCUGUGGAAAGUUACUUCUUCAAAAGCAAAAGUAUCUCAUAUCAUCUCUUCUCAUUUUUUCUUCUCUUUAUCCUUCAUGCUGCUGCAAGAUGGGGAGAAGGUGAACAAUCAGUCGGAGCUCUGAUUGCUUACCUUGUCUGUCACCUCUUUCAGCAGACCCCCUAGCUCGGCGACUUGGGGGACUCCUACUACAUGGUUUGUAUCGCGCUUGACCAAGCCUGAGACUACAAGUAAGCUUCAAGUGAAAUUGAUACAUUACCUUGUGCAUCUCCACCAGUUAAAGAUACCACCCCUGGAUGGAGGAAGAGUACUUCCAGAGAAGAUGCCACAUCUACUACCUAUGAGACAGAUAAGGCAAGUCAAGACGACACCACACUCCGAUACUUAGAAGUUUCGUGAUUACGAGAUCAUUCUCCCACAAUAUUUCCUAAUGUCAUUUGUACUAAAUCAUUCACUUGUACUCACUAAAGGAGAGCUUGAACCUAUGUACUUGUGUAAACCCUUCACAAUUAAUGAGAACUCUUCUAUUCCGUGGACGUAGCCAAUCUGGGUGAACCACGUACAUCUUGUGUUUGCUUUCCUAUCUCUAUCCAUUUAUAUACUUAUCCACACUAAUGACCGGAGCAAUCUAGCGAAGAUCACAAAAAGCGACCGUUUUCGCUACCUAGGAUCUAUCUUGCAAGAGAACGGAGAAUUAGAUGGAGAUCUCAACCAUAGAAUACGAGCUGGAUGGAUGAAGUGUAAGAGUGCAUCCGGCGUGUUGUGUGACCGUCGUAGGCCACUGAAGCUCAAGGGAAAAUUUUUAUAGGACGGCAAUAAGGCCAGCGAUGUUGUAUGGCACAGAAUGUUGGGCGGUGAAGCAUCAACACGUACACAAAAUGGGUGUAGCGGAGAUGAGGAUGCUUCGUGGGAUGUGUGGGCACACGAGAAAGGAUAAGAUUGGGAAUGAGGAUAUCCGAGGUAAAGUAGGAGUAGCCGAAAUUGUAGGAAAGAUGAGAGAAAAUCGGCUCCGAUGAUUUGGACAUGUGCAAAGAAGGCCGACUGACGCUCCGGUUCGAAGAUGUGACUACGGGACAGAGGUUCAGGGCCAAAGGGGUAGAGGAAGACCUAGGAAAACUUUGGAAGAGACUCUAAGAAAAGACUUAGAGUACUUGGAUCUAACGGAGGACAUGACACAAAACCGAGCGCAAUGGCGUUCUAGGAUUCAUAUAGCCGACCCCACUUAGUGGGAAAAGGCUUUGUUGUUGUUGUUGUUGUUGUUGUUGUAAUGUGAAUUUCUUAUGUUGUUUUGUUUUUCAUGUCACUACAUGGAACUUGUCCUAGUUUUUGGCUUCAUGCAGCUGAAACUUUAUUUAUUAGUUGUUAGUUUAUUAGAUUAUUAUUUGCAGUUAUUUUUGUCUCCAAUUUUUUUUUGUAAAAAAUGGUAUAGGAAAAUACACCAGCUGUCACUAGCCAAGGAAAGGAGCAAGAGGGACCUGCUGCAUCUACAGUAACGGAAAGUGACUUGAAAGUAACUGUUGAAAAAGAACUUGUCUCCCAAGCUGAGGAAGAGGACAUGGAGGCACUUUUGGGAACGUAUGUACUGUAUAGUUAUUUCUGACGUGAUGUAGAAAAUGUUUGUGCUCUGUUUCAUUUGUCCUUUUUGGGAAUAUUGGUACGAUAAGAUUUUAAUUGAAGUGAUGUCUAUUUGCAAAUUAAAACAAAUGUAUGAGCACUAGGUGGGUUGAAUUAUUUGAUUGUUAGGAAGGUCUUUUGUAAUUUCUUUUUUCAAAACAUCACUAUAUACUAUAUUUUCUUUUGUUUGCGGUGGUCUUCUAGAUACAAACGGUUGUCUGUCAUUUCCUGAUUAGAAAUUUGACUGAUAGACUACAGACAAAACUUUGGUUCAGUGCCCGCUUAGUUCAUGACACAUUCUGCAUUGACGCCUGCCAAGAGUUCAAAGACCAACUGGGGAAUCCUAAAUUGUCCUGCCCUUGCCUAUUGUUAUUUAAUGUAAAAGUCUAAAUGGUUGGGUUUGACAACUUCCAAGUGGCAGGCAUCAAUGCCAUGUCUGUUGGAAAUAUCUUGAUAUAGUUGUGACUUCUUUUGAUUGUGGGUGUGCUAUGCAGUUAUGUUAUGGGUAUUGGUGAAGCAGAGGCAUUUUCUGAAAGGUUGAAGAGAGAGCUUCUGGCUUUGGAAGCAGCAAAUGUGCAUGCGAUUUUGGAAAGUGAACCCUUGAUAGACGAGGUGACUCUAUUACUAUCAGUUGUGUUGAAUACGAUGCCGUUUGCUGCAUUUCUUCUUUGUUAGGUUUUUUAUUUAUUGUCCUUUUUAUGUUCUUUGUUUGUUGCUUGGUUUCACACUUCCCAAACAAAGCCAAGGUUUUCAAUCUUCCUUUUUUACCUGUCAAUAUCAAUACGGUUAAUUUCUUUGUCACCCAUGUGACUAUGAUAUAAAUGGCGCCAGGCAGGUCUAAGCAUGCUAGUUAUCUGGUUUUUCAACCACUGUAUUUGCUUAGCAUGGAUGUUCUCUCAUUCAUCUUCUAACCUUGCCCUGUUUAGAUUCUUCAACUUGCUUUUGCAUAAAAAGGUGUUGCUACCUCAUUCUCAGAAACUUUAUUCAUCUUCCAGUUACUUGGGUACAUUGCUUUAACAUUGUCUCUAUGAGAUUGAUAUGCAAGCUACUUUUACCUGCUUCUAGGACAUUGAUUGGUGGUUGUCUAUUUCCUUGAAGAUACGUGUUAUUGUUAUUUAUAUGUUCAUUUAUGGGCCUUGUAGGUAUUGCAAGGCCUUGAGGCAGCAACAAAUUGUGUCGAUGACAUGGAUGAAUGGUUAGGCAUUUUCAAUGUGAAACUCAGACACAUGAGAGAAGACAUCGAAUCGGUAGUGAAUUUAGCUACCUUUGAUAAAUUUUUAGACUUUUGCUGAUCCUUUGAUAAAUGUUUAGACUUUUGCUGAUCCUUUAUGAAUAAUAAGAACAAGCAUAUUGUAUCUGUCAUGAAUUUAGCACUGUACAUCAUCUAGUCAAAGCUUCCAUUUGCCUGUUUAUGCCAUUGUAUGUGAAAAUAUUAACAAUAAUUUUAGUGGUGGAUUUUUGUUUCCUUUGCUCCCUCAAACUUUUACCAUAUGACAUCCAAUAUAAAGUUGUUUACAUUUCAUAUUUUCCCAAGAAACUUGAUGGUAUUAUGUUUAUUCUUGUUGAUUAAAAGUGUAUUGAUGCUAGUCUUGUGUUGGCUUCAAUUCCUCACGGUUCUGACUAAAGAGGUGGUGGUUCUGUAUGCCAUGUCAUAAGAUGGUUUUAAGAUACUAGUGCUGGAUAUAUAAAUGUCCUUUACGUGAAUGCUUGUAACUUUUUUCCGUUGCACUGUCCAGAUAGAAACCCGCAAUAACAAGUUGGAGGUGCAAUCUGUAAAUAAUAGAGCUCUCAUUGAGGAACUCGAUAAGCUUCUUCUAGGUUUGCGCGUUCCUUCUGAGGUAUGGUGUCCUUCAUGUUUAGCUUUGAGAGAUAACUUGUUAGUUUUAACUUUGGCAACUUGUUUAGGCCUACAGUCUCUUUAAUGCCGUUUCAUUUGUGUAGUAUGCCGCAUGUUUGACGGGAGGUUCAUUUGAUGAAGCACGUAUGCUUCAAAACAUAGAAGCGUGUGAGUGGUUGGCUGGUGCUUUACACAGUCUUGAAGCGCCAAACUUGGAUCCUAUAUAUGCAAAUAUACGGGCUGUGAGCAUUCUGUCUAUUUCAUUUGUUUCAGUUCUUUUUUUUUUUUUCAAAAAUUGUGGCCAGAUGUUUGAAAUUUAGAGUUCCCUCUCAUUACUGAGGUGCUAGACUAGAAAUAGCUGUUUUGAUUAUUGAUAUUGGAAACCUCAUUGUGUUUGUAAGUAGUAAUUGAAAUUCUUACAGGUUAAAGAGAAGCGAGAAGAACUUGAAAAACUGAAAUCUACAUUUGUCAGGAAAGCUUCUGAGUUCUUGCGAAAUUAUUUUGCUAGUUUGGUGGAUUUUAUGAUAAGUGACAAGAGCUACUUUUCUCAGGUACACUUUAGGGGACGUUUCUUUUACAAUUUAAUCAAAAUUGUCAUUUCCUUUGUACGCAUCUCAAUGCUCACUAUUGUGCUUGUUUAAAAUAGCGGGGCCAACUGAAAAGGCCUGAUCAUGCUGAUCUACGGUACAAAUGCAGAACAUAUGCUCGCCUUCUGCAACAUUUAAAGGUCAAAGAUUAACUUAACUGCAUUAACCAUUAGGAAUUUUGUUCUUUCUACUUGCCCUUGUGCACUGCUGUUUUUUUUCUUUUGCUUACCUUCCCCCCCUCUCUUCCCCUCUCUCUUUGCAUUUGCAGAGUCUUGAUAAGAAUUGCAUGGGCGCUUUGAGGAAAGCAUAUUGUAGCUCCCUCAACCUGCUUAUUCGUCGUGAGGUCAGAAUCACAACCUUAUAUUCUAUCACCUGAAUGUUACUUAUAUAUAUGUGUUAGAAGUGUAUUAUUUGGUUGCUGUUUUUAUCAGUUAUAUUUAAUUUUGUCUUAUAUGAUGGACCUUCUCUUGAUUGGCCAGAUUUUGGGUUUUCCAUCUGAUAACCAGGCUUCCUGAUAAGAUUGUGACAUGGAUGGUUUGGUCGUUCAAUGUAGAAUCAACUUGUAAUAAGUUAAGCCAGAAUGGUGGUGAUUUGAUUCAACAUUGCAAUAACCUAAUCAAAUCAUUCUUGUUCUCGAAAUAAACUUUUAUAGACAUUAGAUAGUUAAGUAGUUUGAUCAGUUUGAAAGAUUGAGUAUAUAAUUUGAUACCUACAGGCUCGUGAAUUUGCAAAUGAGCUUCGUGCUAGUACAAAAGCAUCAAGAAAUCCAACCGUCUGGCUUGAAGCUUCUACUGGGUCUGGUCAAAAUGCGAAUGCUGCAGACACUUCUGCUGUUUCUGAAGCUUAUUCCAAGAUGCUUACAAUUUUUAUCCCACUCCUUGUAGAUGAGGUUAAAGUCGAGUUACAUUAUAGUUUCUUUGAUCUACAUAGCACAUAUCUCCGUAUUAAAUCUCCAUUCUAAAAUGGUGCAACUGCAGAGUUCUUUCUUUGCACACUUUAUGUGUUUUGAAGUUCCAGCACUUAAUCCUCCUGGGGGUACUGCUAAUGGAGAUAAGUCUGAUGACACCAAUGACGAUGAUUUGGGAAUCAUGGACAUUGAUGACAAUGACAGCAAAGCUGGUAAUUUGCACUAUAUUUUUGUUGUAAUUACCUAUGUGUUUCUGAUCAUAUUUUAACUGACUGCAAUGGCUGUUUCUGCUUCUUUCUCUUGCAUUUUAUACAAUUGUCUAAUUUUGUAGGUAAAAGUUCAGGAGAGCUUGCAGCAUUAAAUGAAUCUCUUCAGGAUUUACUCGAUGGAAUCCAGGUAAUGUGCAGAACUUGUUGCCUAUUUUUUCGUACCUGCUCUUGAUUUUUGUUGUUUGGGCUUCAUUUGCUCACCUCACCAGUUCAGCCUCUCUAUCCUAGUCAUGACUUGUGCAUAGCAGCGUACACUAUCUUGUAGUCAUUUUAAAGUUCCUUGUGAAAAAAUAAAAGAGGCCAAUUUAUAUAGUUUUCAGGAAGACUUUUAUGCCGUUGUGGAUUGGGCUUACAAGAUUGAUCCCUUACGCUGCAUAUCAAUGCAUGGGAUUACAGAGCGCUAUCUUUCUGGUCAGAAAGCUGAUGCAGCAGGAUUUGUGCGUCUCUUGCUUGGUGAUCUGGAGUCGAGGGUUUCUAUGCAGUUCAGUCGCGUAAGUUUCUGAGUUUAGUAGUGAUCAUCAUCAUAUGUUUUUGAGGUUAUGUUCUGAAGAUUCUGAACCCCUGUAAUGUUUAUGAUCCUUUGCAGUUUGUUGAUGAAGCUUGCCACCAGAUUGAAAGAAACGAGCGCAAUGUUAGACAAAUGGGUGUCUUAUCAUACAUCCCAAGGUGAACUGGGAUUUUUGCCACAUUUAUCAUAUAUGUAAAACAAAAAUGGAAAUAAUUCUGUAUGUCUUCAAAUUGAGGAAUGCAAUUUCCCGUAGAAAUUUAUCUGUUCUGUUCAGGCAGUUACUUAUGUUUGCUUGUCUUCCCCUUUACUUAGAUUUGCUACUCUGGCAACACGAAUGGAGCAGUACAUCCAGGGACAAUCAAGGGAUUUGGUUGAUCAAGCAUACACAAAAUUUGUGAGUGCUUUUUUUUUCUGAAAAUUUUUCUCGUCAUUGGUAGUAUAAUGCAAAGAAAGUGAUGAUUAUCAGAUAUCAUGGUAUACAGCAUAAUCAAUAACCGUUGAUUUAAAUGGUUUUGUUUGCUGGGUUCACCAGCAAUAUGGUGGUUCAAGCAGUAUGAGGAAGAUUUUCUUAAAAUUAUGCUUCAAUCAUACACCAUGCUAGUGUUCUUCCUAUGUACUAUUCCAUUAAAGCUUAUUAUUUAGUUAUCACACUGAUUACUCAAGUUUGAAUUCAGAGGGCAACGUUCUUUUUUCUAAACCUUGCAGUCUAUUGGCUGUGUGAAGAAUAGAUAGAUGAUGAUAACAUUUGAUUGUCUAUCAGUUUGAUGUUUUAACAGAACUGCGUCUCCAUUUUCUUACGUUAGAUCAAUUGUUUGACAGGUUAGCAUAAUGUUUGUGACUUUGGAGAAAAUUGCACAAACGGAGCCAAAAUAUUCUGAUCUUUUUCUAUUAGAGAACUAUGCUGCAUUUCAGAAUAGGUAUUCUUCUUUUUCCCUUCUACUAUGAUCAAUGCUUUCUUUUUUCGUUGACCAUUUUUUAUGAGAAGCCGUUUGGUUGCAGUUUGUAUGACCUAGCAAAUGUUGUGCCCACCUUGGCCAAAUUUUAUCACCAGGCAAGUGAAGCUUAUGAACAAGCUUGCACACGCCAUAACAGCAUGAUCAUAUACACUGUGAGUUAUCCCGAUGCCAAAUCUUUAUAUAAUUUUUUCUUCCCACCCCCCACCCCUUGUUCCUUGUCGAAUUAUGUUCAUAUAGACACAGCAGUUUUCUCAAGGGCAGAUCUAUUUUGGUGACAUAUACCCUCGUUGUGUUUUCUUUUGGCAGCAAUUUGAACGGCUUUUCCAGUUUGCUCGAAAAAUAGAGGAUUUGAUGUUUACAAUCGCACCAGAAGAGGUUAGUGUGUAAACGGCUGAGAUGGAUCUCAAAUAUCUAUAUCUGAUAAAACAGUGAAAAAAUGAAACCACUCUUAGUUAUGUCUACUCGUGAAAAUGAAACUGUGUCCAUUGAUUACACCAUGAAGAAUAUCUAGCCCCGCCCUGCAAAUGGACUGUAUAGUGUAAUUGCCCGAAUGAUUUACGUGGAGAUAUAUAUUUUCGAAGUCUUAAUUUUCUGAAUGUAAUGGCUGAUAUCAUUUCCUUCACAAAUUGCAGAUCCCUUUCCAGCUUGGGUUGUCAAAGGCGGAUCUGCGGAAGGUGUUAAAAUCAAGCUUAUACGGGGUGAGUUGAUUUACCUAUCCGAAAUAGUUUCAUCCGUGAAUGUUCGUUUCUAACACCUUCAUGGAUGUACAGCUUGACAAGUCCAUCACUGCAAUGUACAAGAAGUUGCAGAAAAACAUGACUUCAGAAGAACUGCUGCCUUCUCUAUGGGAAAAAUGCAAGGUACGUAACAAAAGUUUCUUCGCAAACAUGAAGAGUUCCUUCACCUUCCCAUUGAUAAUAUCUGAUGAAUGUCGCGGAUUUUGACAGAAGGAAUUCCUUGAGAAGUAUGAAACUUUUGCUCAACUCGUCGCCAAGAUUUACCCGACAGAGACCUUUCUCACGGUAGCAGAACUGAGAGACCUUUUGGCUACCAUGUAAAGCGAGAGUUUGCCUUGCAUAUCUUGACAGCUUCUUUUGAGGGAUGAACUUAGCUUGCAUAAUCUUUCCUUUCCUUUCCAUUCUUUUUGUUUCAUUUUCCGGCAACAUUUUCUGGUAAUUUGAUUUAUUAAAAAAUGUCGAUUUUUCGAGCGUCUCAUGUCGGUACUGAUGAAAAAAAACACACAUCAUUGUGAUUUCGAGGAGAGUAUUAUUCACCAUUUGCAAUGUCUUGCAUGAGUUCUAAGGAGCUUCUGCAGCAGAUAAAAUGACACGAGAGUAGGUUUGAUUAUGGUUUUUUCGAAAGAUCUUUUGCAUGUGCGGUAAGAAGAUGUUAUUAGCAAUUUGGAAGUGAUUUAUUGAGGCAUAAAACGUAGCUAAAACGGAGUUUUGUCGACCAUAAACUCAUAAUUUUUCUAGCAUAUAAAUUUAAUAAAAAUCACUCCACUUGAUAAAUGGUAAGUUUGCUUCAAUACAGUUUAUAAUACGCAAAAGAUUAUUACAACUAAAUAAUCACAUAGUUCACAAAAAUUGUGAUACAAUUUUUCGAGUUCUAUGUAUUUUAUAAAAAACUAUCAGAAAACUUUUAUUUAUUUAUUUAUUUUUAAAUUUUUUUAUGAAAGUCUUUGUGUGGCCUAGUUCACGGUGGCGUCUUAUGCUUAUAAUGUAACAACAUGCGUUCAUUGUCAUCACGUGUCCUUAUUUUAUUAGCAUGAAACGCCGUUGCAGUUCGUAUGAGCAAAUGAAAAACCGACAAAAAAAGUGCAUAUACUGAUGAGAAGCCUUUUAAAAAGUCGGUCGUGGACCAAUAAACCUCCAGACUUUUUUUUCCAUGGAAUUAUUGGUCCUUUUCUUCCACUUCUUGGCCUUAUCUCCAACUCCUCCACCAUGGAUUCCACUCACUACUCCGACAGAUUCCUCAGAGAUGAUCAAACGGCGUCGCAGCCGCUUCGCUACACAAUCUGUAAACAAGCAGACAUGAGCCAACGCCAACUCCGUGAUAUUACAGAGAUCUGCUCAACACUCUUCGUGUCAAGAGCGGCGGCGAUCAUCUUACUCCGCCGCUGUGAUUGGAACGCAAGUAAGUUGUUUGACAAGUGGUUUGAGGAAGAAGACGAGGCUCGGAAAAGAUUGGGACCAAAACAAGCCCACUUGUUCGAACCUUGUCUUCUGAUAUUGGUUUGUUACUUGUGUUUUUGAAACAUUUGUGGAUGGUGACACGGUAGUGGAAGUGGUGAUAACGAUUCUAAAUUAUAACUUAAAUUUUUCGAGUUAAAAAUUUUGGAUUUUAAUCCACGGAUUGGAGAUGGUCGUGAACGUUUCGUACAAGCAAAUGAAAACUGAAAGGUGCAUAUACUGAUGAAAAACUUUUUAAUAAUUCGGUCGUCAGUGGCAAUUCAACCAGAAAGUUCACCGCACCAACCUCCAAACUCUCUUUUUCCAUGGAAUUAUUGGCCCUUUUCUUCCACUCUUCUCUAACUUCUAUCGACUAUGCAAACUUUUGCAAAAAUCAGAGCUCAACUUUUCUUUAUUUUAUUUUAUUUUAUUAAAAAGGAGACCUGGUGGCUUCGUCACACCACUUCACAUUUUUUACGGUAAGAAAGAUUCACAAAUGCAUUUCAAUUUCUCAUGAUCAUAAGCGUCAGAAAUCGAACCUAGACGUGCAGUCUUGAAUAUGGAUCUAAAAUUCAUCUCUAAUCACUGGUCGUUCCUGGACGGUUCUCUCCAACUUGGUUAUGGGCCUGUUGGUGGGGCAAAACUUCAAAACGGCAUAAAGAAUCACAAUACCACUGAUAAAGCUUCAAAGUCAUUUUUAAUUGUGACGGGAAUACAAUUGGUAUAUCACGUAUUUUGAUAGAAGUGGUGAAAAAUUUUAUUUUUUAAGUUAUUAACUUUUUAGCACAUAUAUUUUACCAUUUGUAUAAUACCACCCGUGUACCGGUAAAAAAUCUCUUCAAUUCCACAUAGAAGAGUAGACACAGAGCAACUCUCCGUCGCUAUAAAUACCUAAUCAGGCAACAGUGCCUCCUCCUCCUUCAUCCACCGUCCAUCCCAUCUUAUCUCGGGAUUACAUCGACUGCGGUGACUCCGUAGAGAGCUAAUCGUUCCGAAAGAAACGCUCUACUUGCCGAAAUCAUCGCUAUCAGCGAAAGACUAAAACGGAAGGAAUCAAAUAAAAGAAUCUCUAGGGUUUCUGUAUUCCAUGGACAAGAAACGCAACCUGAACGGAGACAACUACAUCGUCAUAAGCAGCGAUGAAGAAUCGGAUCGAUCAGAAUGUUUUGAAGAAGAAGACGACGCAGUGGAUGAUGAGUUUGCUUUUGUCCAAGAAGACAACAUCGACAACACCGAUCACUACGAGUUCAGCGAAAAUACUGAUUCGUCUCAUGAUCCAAAUCAAAACUACGCCAUUUUGAAAGAGGAAGAGAUUCGCCAACUGCAGGAGGAAGAUAUCACAACAGUUUCUACUAUCCUUUCCAUACCGAAAUCCGCUGCAUGCUUCCUCCUCUCACACUUCAACUGGAGCGUCGGCAAAGUCAGCGAGGAGUGGUUCGCCGACGAAGAUAGAGUCAGAGAGAAGGUAGGGUUGUUGAGGAACCCCGUGGUUAGUUUCCAUCCCACAGAUUUGAUUACUUGCAGAAUAUGUUUUGAUGAUCAUCAGUAUGGAUCGAAGGAUGUUUUUUUCGCUGUUUGCGGUCAUCCCUUUUGUCGGGAUUGCUGGACAGGUUAUUUUAAAUCAGCGAUAGAUGAGGGUCCGACGUGUUUGAUGCUGAGAUGUCCCGAACCGUCUUGCAAGGCAGCGGUUGGACCGGAUUUAAUCGAGGGUUUGACGACAGGAGAUCAUGAGAGGUAUAAGUCCUUCCUUUUGAGAUCUUACGUUGAAGGGCGCAGGGAGAUCAAGUGGUGCCCUGCACCGGAUUGCAAGUACGCUGUGAAAUUCAAUGCAGGUGGAACCAAAAGCUAUGACGUUUCGUGCCUUUGCUUGUACGGGUUUUGCUGGAAUUGCAGUGAGGAAAUUCACCGUCCCGUGAACUGCAAGACUGUGGAAAAUUGGAUUUUGAAGAACAAGGACGACUCGCUGAAUGCGCAGUGGAUACUUGGGAAUACCAAGCCUUGCCCCAAGUGCAAGAAACCAAUCGAGAAGAACCAAGGGUGUAAUCAUAUGACUUGCUUAAACCCUUGCAGGUAUGAAUUUUGCUGGUAUUGCCUCGAGAAGUAUACUGGACAUAGAUGCUGCAAUGGAUAUAAUAGGGCAACUGGUGAAUAUACUGGAACUGACACGGACAAGGUUGAAGCUGGGAGGGAUAAAAAGAGGGCAAAGAGAUACGUGGAGAAAUACCUACAUUAUUAUGAACGAUGGGCAAACAAUCUAUCUUCGAAGAAGAAAGCAAUAGAGGAUUUACAUAAUGUGCAGAGCACGGACAUUAUGAAGCUUGCCGCCAUACAAUGUCAAUCGGAGCUUCAGCUCAAGUUUAUUGUAGAGGCGUGGCAGCAGAUCAUUGAAUGUAGGCAGGUAUUGCGAUGGACGUAUGCAUACGGGUACUACAUUCCCGAGAAUGAAGAACUGAAGAUUCAGCUAUUCGAGCACUUGCAAGGCCACGCGGAGUUCAGCCUGGAGAGGCUUCACAAAUGUGCUGAGAGUGAGAUGAAAGAGUUUCUCUUUGCUAAAGGUCCGUUGGAAAGUUUCCAGGACUUUCGUAUAAAGCUCGUAAGACUGACAAAGGUGACUGCAAGUUAUUUUGAGAAGCUGGUUAGAGCGUUGGAGAAUGAUCUUUCUGAAUUGGACAUACAGGGGAUUCACAGGUCUUGAUCUUGUUACCAGUGUGCCAAUUCUGAAUGCUUGUUCUCCAAUGUAACCUGGAAGCUGGAGAGGUGUGUCUGACUCCUGAGAAGGCGUUAACUAGCUCUCUGUUUUCCUCCCCCAUUUAUUUAUGAUCUAAUGGACUACAAUUUAGUGGAUUUAUUAUGAGAUAGGUAACUUGUUUAGGAAGUUUCAUUUCGUUUCUUGUUCGGUAUGAAACCUUUUGUGUAGUAUAUUUUUUCUAAUCAAAUUCUGUUUGCCAUUGAUAAAUGUUAUGUUUGAUAUCUCAUUGGGAGUUACCCUCUUGGGAGUUGUGAAAAUAGCAAAAUCACUAGCAGAGUGUAGGAAGUAACGAUACCACUUUAAAAAUGUCAUCAUACACUUAUCUGCAAUACAAAUAAAACGCAGAAAUUGAAUUUGGAAAUGAAGGUUUUGUGAAGCAUUCUUCUCCCUAGAAGCGAUUUUUUUUUUCCGUCAAAUCACACUACGUAUACAAGUAAUUUUAUUAAAGAUGAACCGGAAGAUUUACAUAGCACUAUAAGUGAUUUUGUUUCAAAACAUGGGAAUUACUUGUAUGUGGCCUUUAAUGAAUCUUUAAGAGUACCAAAAUCACCAAUGAGAAACAUCACUUCUAUAUAAGUUUUGUGUCGAAUUAUCAAAUCUUCCUCUCCUUCCUCCCAUCAGAAUCCUAGGUCUACAAAAUUCAUAGCCGCUGACUCCUUAUUUGAUUGGAGACCGGUGGCAGCCACUGUCCUUAUUCUCAUAGCCCUUCUCCUUCAUCUUCUCAUGAAUUGCUGCAAUCUUUGAUUUUUGUUUUAGUAUUUUGUCAAUAAAUGCCUCCUUUGGUGAGGUUAUUUGUGAGUCUCUCCAAGUGAAUAUUUUUGUUUUGUGUUAGUUUGUAAUCGGCUCCUCUUGGGUCUACUUUGAUGUUUCUAGUAGCUUCAUCGAUGAAGUUGAGCACUUGGUAUGGACACUAGUUGGUUCAUUUGUCAAUUCCUUUUCAGAGUCGUUCCUACUAAUUGUCAAAGAGUGUUCUCAUUUCUAUUAUUGUAGUUUCUCUGUGUGUGGAAUUUCUCAUGUCAAUUGGCAAAGUGUUUGAUUUUCAUUAGGAAUGGUGUUCCCUUGGCUUUGAAGUGCCAUCUCAGUCCCUUGAGUUUGAGUGUGGAUGAUUUCAAUACUUGGAUAUGCUUUUGCUUAUUCUCAGAUAUAUCUCGCUCUCAACUUCACUAGUACAAUGACAACUAAUAUGGCCAAAUUGGACUUUAUUGUUUUGUUUGAGUCUUUUUGGAUUGAGGACCUCUUAGAUGAAAUCCAAAAUAUCUUCUUUAAUAUUUGUAUUAGUUUUUUAAAUUAUAAUAAUUUAAUAAAACAGCUAUUUAUUCUCCUCUCAAAAUCCCUUAUAUAUACAGAUCCUAAAUUUGUAUCCAAAAUUGAGAAAUCAACAACAUCUGAUUGAUGAAUCAAUGUGGAUGGGCCAAAGGUUGUUAGGGUUCUCUAUCGAUUUGGGGAUGGGGCAAAUCAUAAGGGAACCAUUUCAUUAGGCAGAGCCCAGAGAACUUACAAACAAAACAGUAAAGUUACAUAUAACCCAACAAAGACCAGCAGAAAGACACAGGAAGAAAAACAACAGAAGGUCUCGCCCAAAGCUAAGACAGGGGAGAUGAGCAGAGCAUGACCUGAUAGCGAGGCUGAGGUCCAAUCUGCUAACCUCAUCUAUCUCAACUAGCACAAAUUAAGGGGGGCAAGGAAGAUCAUCCUUCGACAAAAUAUGAACUAGAGAGGAUGGGGGCCUAAUGACCCAAACGUCAUUGCGCAUCCCUCUUUUACAUUGCGAAGAGACCCAAUCGGCUGCACCAUUCGCUUGACGCGGAAUCCAUUACCAUCUAAUUGACUGAAAACGAUGAGAAAGAUUCCGGAUUUUGGUUAACAGAGGAAAUAUGGUCCAAUUCCCAUGCUUGGGAUCUCCCUUGAUGUUGCUAAUGAGUUCCAGAGAAUCAGAUUCAAAGGCCACAUCGAAGAAACCGUUAUCAAUUGCUAAUGAUGUUGCUGAUCGGCUGAUGAAUUGGAGUUUUUAACAUGGAUUUGAGCAACCUUGUACUAGCCAUUAGUCUUUUAACUCGGGCCUUAACAUUUUCAACUUGGUUAUGCACUAAUCGCAAAGCAAUGAAUAGACUUCAAGCACUCGUUCGAACUCAUCAUAAACCAUUAAAUUACACAGCUCAAUUAAACCGUUGCUUAAUACCUUAAUUAAAUUACUAAUCCCUCAAAUCGGAAAAAAAAAGUAAUUAUUUAUAAACCCAAUAGUUAUCUUCCCAAAUUAGCAAAAAAUGGUUAUCUUCACAACAUAAAAAAUCUUUCACAUUUUCCCAUUUAGCCCUUAAAUCAAAUUAAAAUAAAAAGUUAAAAACCCUAAUGAAAAUCAUAAAACCAAAGACCUCUAUCAGCACUUAGAGCAGCUUCUCUCAAUUUAUGAGCUCUCUCUCGUUGUAAUCAGAAUUGAAAGUAAGGGGAGGCACGAUUCAGUUCGGUGCGGUUGUGAAGCUAAAACCAAAUCGUUUGAUUCGAUUCGGUGCGGUUUCAAGCAACUUCGAUUCAAUUUUUUUAAAAAAAUUUUACCGUUUAAAAUUGCACAAAACUUCAUCAAAGAUAGAUUUAAACCUGUAGCAAAUUCUUCUACAAUCUGGGCCAUAUGAGAAAUCAAAGCUAACAUUUUGUAGGGAUGCAUGCACGCCAGGCUCCAGCUACUGUAAUGGUUGAUCAUUUCAUUUUUCAUGAACAUAUAAAAUCACAUUUCAUAUGAUCCAGAGGAGUGGUAAAUAUAUAUAGUUUUUACUCUCUUUUUUUAUUUAUAUAAUUUCUCCUUAGCAUGUAGAGCUAGGUAAGAGAGAGAGACUGAUGAGUGAUAAUAUCUGUCGAAUAGUGUUGAGUCCAUAAUAAAAGUAUGGAUUCUAAUAAAUAAUUAAUUAAAACAUGAUAUCUAAUUUGAGGUGAGAUUUUCAAAAGUCAAAAUCGAAACUAAAUCGUUUCUAACAUUGCGGUUUGGUUUCAAAACGGCAAAACCGAAUAGUUCAGUGCGGUCCAAUUUAAUUUGUGUUUUGGUUUCGGUUUUCAAUUUCAAGUCUCUACCCCUAAUUGAAAGAGAAACCGCUUCCAAUUCCCUUCCUGCAAUCACGAGAAAUUUUUCUAAGCACCUGGCAUAUAUGCUGACAUGGAGUUCCACCAAUAAUCAUUUAACACCUUUAUAUUUUUAUUUUUUUAAAUCUCAAAAAAUGCUAGCUGUUUCAAAAAUUACCUCGAAAAGAAAAAAUCAAAACUCAUGGCUACCCUAAAUCUUACGACAACAGUCAACCAUCCAAUGCACCCACCUCCAUCAUUGGCCGACGAUUUAUCUGGCGUCAUCCAUCCCUUCUCUCUCUUCGAUUUUUUUUAUUUUUUAUUUUAUUUUGUAUAAUUUCCUCUUUUUCGCUCCCACUCUUACUUCUACAUGGAACCCAGGAAUUGUCAACGGCAACUCCUACUCAGAUCUGGCAUCGCCAAUCCCGAUCUAUCAACCGCUGAGGUCGCCAUCAUCCCUUGUGUUCUUUUUCUGGCGCAGUAGAAGAAAUAAAAAGGGAAAAAAAGAGAAAGAAAGGGAGAGAGAGGUGAGGGGAAGGGCAGGAUGGGUAUGGGGAUGGGUGUGACGGUGGACGGAAUAAUCCCAUCUUUUUCCUCCUUUUUUUAAGAGUAAAUUGUAAUUCAAUUUGAGUAAUAGUCCAUCAAUUAAAAUAUAGUACCAUUAGUCAUUCAACUUUAAUCCAACUGAAAAAAUUAUCCCUCAACUUUAAUUCAAUUAGAGACUUUAACCCAAUUGUAGCAAUGUUUAUUCUAACAUAACUUAUUUUGACAAAAUUCAGAUGAAGUUGAUGAAAAUGACCAUAGCUACACGUUUUGAUGAGUUGAGGGACUCCAAUUGUAGUAAUGGUCAUUCCGACAUAACUCAUUUUGACAAAAUUCUAAUGAAGCUGACGAAAAUGACCAUAGCUAAAUAUUUUGAUGAGUUGAGAGAUCAAUGACACUUGAUUUUUAGUUAAAAAAUCAUUACUCUAAUUUGAUUAAAAUGGUUGGAUAUUUGUUACAAUUUAAUUAUUUAUUUUAAUUAUUUUCUAAAAAUAAAGAUAAGGAUAAAAUAGGUAUUUCAACAAAAUAAUUAACCAUAGGACAAGUGUCAGACAUUUAUUAGUGGAGAACUCCAUAACAGCAAAUGUGCGGGGUACCUGGAAAAUUUUCUCCACAAUCACCCUCUCAUUUCCUUCAUUUUCUUUUUCCAAUUCCCUUUCCCCUGGACGAUUCGCAUGGACAAGAAACUGCACGAUCAGAAAAAUGGCGGUGAUGAAAGUCCUUGUGACGUUGACGACUCUGGCUUUCUUGAAGAACAAGAAGAGGAUGGCGACGACGACAACAUUGACACAGAAGAUCGGUAUGAAUUGGUUGACACUUGUCAGUCGAAAACCCUAUAUUACACUGUUUUGAAUGAAGAAGAAAUUCGCUAAAUUCAGGAGGAUGAUAUCAACAAAUUGUCUGAUGUCAUUUCCCUACCGAAAUACGCCGCAUGCUUUCUUCUCCCUCGCUUCAAUUGGAAGGUUAGAAGGGCUAACGAGGAGUGGUUUUUGGACGAGGAUGAAGUCAGCGAAAAGGUAUGGUUAAUGAAAAAAACAGUGGUUCAAUUCAAUGCCAGAGUUAUAAUUACUUGUGGAAUAUGUUUUGAUGAAUAUGCGUAUGAAUGCGAAAGUGUGUUGUCUACUUUUUGCGGUCAUCCUUUUUGUCGAAAUUGCUACAGGUUACAUUCGCACUUCGAUCAAUGACGGUCCUGCGAGUUUGAUGCUGAAAUGUCCUGAACCGCCUUGUGGCGCAGCUGUUGGUCCGGAUUUAAUCGGCGUGUUUGACAACCCGAGAAGAUUAUGAGAGGUAUAAACACUUCCUUUUAAGAUCCUACGUUGAGGGUCAUAGGAAGAUCAAGUGGUGUCCUGCUCCUGAUUGCUGUUAUGCUGUUAAGUACAACGGCAAUGCUGAUGAUGAUGAUACCGGGAUGAAUGGUAGUUAUGACGUUACAUGUCUUUGCUCAAACAGUUUAUGCUGGAAUUGUUGUGAGGAGAUUCAUCGUCUGUAGACUGCAGGACGGUGGGAAAGUGGAUUUUGAAGAACAAAGACGAUUCACAUAAUGUGCAAUGGAUACUAGUGAAUACCAAGCCUUGCCCCAAGUGCAAAAGACCGAUUGAGAAGAACCAAGGGUGUAAUACUAUGACCUGCAGACCACCUUGCAAUUUUAGAUUUUGCUGGUAUUGCCUCGAGCCAAAUGUAAUGUAUGGGUGUUGCAAUCGAUAUGUUUACCAUCCUGUUGCUGACAGUGAAGCUGAGAGUGAUAAAAAAUAGGCAAAGAUAUUUUUGUAGGGAAUGACGAAAGAGUCUUGUCACCUGUCUAAUAAUGUAGUGUGACCAUUAAUAGUAGAAGUCAAGGUUGCUUAGGAAAGUAGUCACUCAAUAUCAUAGUUCAAAGAUAUUUUUUUGCACUUGUAAAUAAGAGUUUUUAAAUUCAACUCUCGUAAAUAGUGAAUUUUAUCAUUUUAUUAUAGUUACUUCAUUGUGUAGCUUUGCCCAAACCCCUAUCUAAAUGUAAAUAUAUUUAAAAAAUAAUGAGUAAGAAGUUUUUUGGAUCAAUUUUUUUUAUUAAUUAUUUUGUUCCUUGACCGCUAAUAUGAGAUUUUAUUAUUAUUUUUUUCAACGAUAGAAGUUUCAUUAAAUACAAAUAGAAACAUUUACAUCAGCCGUCAGAGUAUUGAAUAACCAUUCCGGCUCAAACUCAAACCAACUAUGAGAGCCACCCUCCUUAGACACAAACGACGCCACUAAGUAGGCAGCCUUAUUACAAUCAUGAGAAAUAUAACGAAACUCAAUAGACCUCAAUUGUUGAUUAAUUGUUUAUGUGCUUAGUUUCGGUUUAUUUUAUAGAAUAUGAAAAUGAAAACCCUAGGGGACAUUUAUACAAGUAUACACACAUAAGCCAGCAGAGAGAAAUAGAAGGGCUAGCUUAUACUUUCAUCAUGGUUGAAUUACAAUAUCUAUAGUAUAGAAGGGCUAGCUUUUACCCAAAUCAUCUUCCCUUUGUGUGAAGUAUAAUUAUUUUUUCGCUUACAGAAAUAUAAUAUUUCGAUGAGUAUUGCUACGUAUUGGUAUAUAUUGCUCAGUACAUACAACAAAAAGGAAUGGGGUUAUAAAUUAAUAAACCAAUCGAGUAGUUUGUGGACACCGUCACCAGUUAGCUGUAUGAUCUAUCGUCCAUGUACACCUGUAGCCAGGGGCGGAGCCACAAAGGAAAUAGAUCCUGGUUUUACCUUGACAUUUUAUUCACACAAAAAAAACUAGAGUUAUCCUUUGAUUUCAAAAGACUUUUUCAGGGUAUUGGAGCCCCAACUAGAAUCUUUCCUUAUUUCCUUUACUGGAUUCCAUUUGAGACUGGUGGGUACUGUGAGUUUUGAACUUUUGAGGGGCUCAUGUGAUCCGAAGAGAAAGGAAAUAGACGAGAGAGCUAGUUCUUAUUUUGGAUGCGGUCUCUAAUCCUUAACAUUCUUUGACUAAAACCUUAAUGGUUUUCAAAGUUUGAUCAAAGUCCCUUGACUUUGUACACCUCAUUAUAUUAAUAUUAAUAUUUAUAGUUUUAUAGUUUUGACAUUAAUUGCUUGAUAUUUUAUGAGAUUUAUAAUCCUAUAAAUUUAAAGUCCCUCAUUAUAAUACUAUUAGAAAUGGUUACAAUAAAAAAAUUCAAACAUUUUGAUUGAAUAAAGGGAUAAAAACUAUGCAACAAUAAAAAAUAAUAAAUGACAAAAGAAUGUAUCCAUAGUGUUAAAAAAAAUUGGUACAUUUUACAUAUAACAAAGUGGUACAUUAUAAAUAAAUUAGGGUACAAAUAAAAGAUUAAAAAAUUAUGAAUACAAAUGAAUUUUUAAAAAAUAUGGGUGCUAAAAGAAAUUAAUAUAUGGGUACAAAUUAAAACUAAAAAGAAAAUACUACAAAUUUAAAAAAAAAUGUUGCAAAUUAAAAGUGGACAAAUGUCACAUGACGAUAAACACAUGGAUACAAAUACAAAUAAAACUUUAAAAAAUAUGGGUACAAAAAGAAACUAAUAUAUGGGUACAAAUUAAAAAUGAAAAGAAAAUUAGUACAAAUUAAAAAAGGUUUGCAAAUUAAAAAUAGGUACAAACUAAAAAUAAAAAUGUAUGAUAAAAAAUUUAGCCAUAAAUAUAGAUAUACUAAUUGUAACAUUUUUAAUACUAAAGAAAUAUUUAAAAAUAAAAAUAUUUUAUUAUUCAAAUAAUUAAUGAUGUUAUUAAUACCAGGGACCUUGAUCAAAAAUUGAAAAUGAAUAGGGUUUUAAUCAAUGUAGUAGCAAAAUGAAAGAUGUGAACAUAAUUCCUCCUUCUUUUUUUUUAUAUUUUUGUUUUUGUUUUUUAUUUAUAUUCCUUGAAAUCUUUUAAUACUAUCACUUUUGCUUUUUCUUUUUUCUUUUUUUUUUCUAUUUCCCUCUUUUUAUUUUGAAUCUGAGUCAGGAUACUAGGUAUGAGGGUUGAAUUGAGGAAGAGGAUGACAACAACGGCAUCAUACCAAACCCAAAUGAUGGUGGUCGGUAGUUAGGACAUGGCAAAUCUUUAUUUUUCUUAGAUUAGAAGAGCGUUCUAGGGUGAAACUUUUGGUUUCUCUUGAGCUAAAAUUCUGACUCCAUCACGGUCAGUAUCUGCAGAUCUCUUAGUGGUAGAGAGUCUGGAGAGAAGGAAGAUACCAGCAGAGGAAAGAAGCACAGAUCCAGCAAAGCAAGCAAGAUCGAGCGGCGUCACGAGAGGUAUGCUCCUGAACUUGUCCAGCAGUCCCACUUGCAGUAUCAUCACCACUGCAUGACCUAUUUUCGAUUUCGCUUGCGAAACUGAUUCCAUGUUAACCCAUGCUGGAGGUGCCUGAAAUGUUUAUAAUAAUUACAUGAAUUAGAAAUGAUAUCUAUUGGUACAAAUAUUAGAAGAUAUUUACAUUAUGUAUGUAAAAAGUUACUGAAAGCUACCUUCAUGUAGAAGAGACCAAACAAAUUUGAGUCGGAAAACUGCGGUCCCUUUCCUUUCGCGGCCUUUGACCCCACGAACAUGGCAUACAACCCAACUGCAAAAAUAAGCAUGGCGGUGCCUACCAAGAACAUAUCUGUAAAUUACAAGAAUCAAUCAUAAGUAAAUUAUAAUAAGGCAUAACUAGGAUGAAUAUCACAUAUGUGGAUGUGGGUACUUUACUUACCAAUGGCUUCAAUAAGAAGAUGCACCAUAUGGCCUUGAUCCGUCUUGUGUGACAAGGCAUGGAAAUACUGGAAAUAUGACUCGAGAACAAUAAAGCAACCCUGCAUUCAUAUUAACGUUGAAUGUAAGGACGUGUCGAUUGAUGCUAAACUAGUUUCAAGGUUCGAUUCCCUCCAAUGGAAUCAAUUAAAAAGGGAAAAUGGAAAUUUCACCUCUACAAAGCAUAGUACUGAACCGAGUAAAGAUCCCGCAACUGCAAGUAACGUAAAGAAUCGGCAAUCUAUUAUCCCCUGCACAAAUGAAGUAUGUAUAAGUAACUCUAAAUUACCAAAUAAAAUUAUAUAAAAUUUGACAACUGAGAACACGAAUGUAACGGAC
rnacentral:lncRNA from 1 species